AAUCGCAGCUGAUUCAUGCACGACGCUACUCGCACAAAGUGAGAAGAUUUAGUUCACGGAGAAUGGAGAAUGGAUUGAAACUGAAGAGCUGGAAGGAGGACAUAACAACAUCUCUUAUAUUUGCAAGAUGACGCAGAAAGUCCCAUGCAGGAUGAUGCUUCUCUACAGUGGAUGAUGCAGGCGGGAGAG
rnacentral:lncRNA from 1 species